UUAUAACGUAUGAAAAAAAAAAAAAAAAAAAAAAACGCGACGAGGAUUAUUGAGCAAUCAAUAAUUAUUAUUUCCAAGUUAUAACUGACUUAGCAAAGUCAUGUUAUUUAUUAAUCGAGAAACAGAAGCAGUUAUAUUUUAUUAGUGCUACUAGAAGUCGAGAAAUUAUUCCGACUGCAACGCAAAUUCAAUCUACGGAUUUAAUCUAGAUUCAUAUUACUGUAUUAGCAUCACCAAGGCAUGAGGAUAUAAUUCAUUUAUUCAUCAAUCUCAUUCUCAUACUUUACAAACUCUUAUAACCAAUUACAGUUUCACCUAUCAAUGCUAUGAAGUAGAUACAUGAAUAUGCUAGACAUAUAUGUAAGCAUACAAUCAUCAUUAUUUUUUUUCCACUCCCUAAUGUCUCCUACACUAUACACGCAUAAUCUCCACUUCUCCACUCCACCAACUAUCUCCACCACCUUUUGCUUUCUUCCACUACAUUUUUUUCUCACCACCCUUUCCACUCCACUAAUUCCACUACACCAAACUUUCCACCUACUCCCUUCCCCACCACACGCAAGAAUGCAUCUAACAUUCCAUUAUACAGGCAACAAUCUUUUCAUCAUCUUCAUUCUUCACUAAGGAACCGAAGAGCAGCCACGAGUUCUGCCAUAAGUACACUGCUCCGGCAGUGUUUUGCAAGGCGAUUCCAGCCAUCCAAAAGGUCCGGGCGACAGAAAGUGAAGCCGAAGAAGAAACGACUCCACGCCAGCUUUAAGAACAAUUGAGGUUGAGUUGUGAUGGGCGAUGAAGUGUUGCUGAGUGGAGUUUUUGUUGAACUUAAAGUAGGCUCAGAAAGGAUACAUGUCUUCAUACAUGUAUCUCAGUUAUGCAUUCCGCUGUACACACUGAUUAUUUCAGUUACACCUUCCGUUGCAAACUCUGAUAAUGUUUUAGCCAAGCCCCUAACGAUGCCUUUUUCCUUUUAAGGAAUAUAACGCUUAUACAAGUUCGUUGAGUA